rnacentral:rRNA from 1 species
GACGAACGCUGGCGGCGUGCUUAACACAUGCAAGUCGAACGGAAAGGCCCUGCUUUUGUGGGGUGCUCGAGUGGCGAACGGGUGAGUAACACGUGAGUAACCUGCCCUUGACUUUGGGAUAACUUCAGGAAACUGGGGCUAAUACCGGAUAGGAGCUCCUGCUGCAUGGUGGGGGUUGGAAAGUUUCGGCGGUUGGGGAUGGACUCGCGGCUUAUCAGCUUGUUGGUGGGGUAGUGGCUUACCAAGGCUUUGACGGGUAGCCGGCCUGAGAGGGUGACCGGCCACAUUGGGACUGAGAGACGGCCCAGACUCCUACGGGAGGCAGCAGUGGGGAAUAUUGCACAAUGGGCGGAAGCCUGAUGCAGCGACGCCGCGUGCGUGAUGACGGCCUUCGGGUUGUAAACCGCUUUCGCCUGUGACGAAGCGUGAGUGACGGUAAUGGGUAAAGAAGCACCGGCUAACUACGUG